AACCACAUUCUUUCAGGUUUGUGUAUCAUCAGGAAUAAACAUUUUGCAAUGGCACCUAAAGUUAACAGUUCUUUAGAUCAGUGGUCUCCAAAGUGGGGUGCGUAAGACAAUCCAUUGGGGUGUGGGAAGAAAAUAUUAGAACUUCUAUUUAGAUGUAUAUUUAUAUAAAUAUACAUAUAUUGGUGGUGCGUGCUCAAAAAUUGUUUACUGAUAGGGGUGCGCGAAUAUAAAUAUAUUGGGGUGGGUGCUCAAAAAUUUUUUACUGAUGGGGUGUGCGAUCAAAAAAGUUUGGAGACCACUGCUUUAGAUAAUGCAUCAACCAGAAUAGAACGCAGCUUAGCCAGUUGCAACUCUAUUAGCUUGAAAGUGUAAAGAGGAAUAAAAGCCUACCACUUGUCACAAAAAUAAGCAGAGAUUUGCUGAUAUCUAAUCUGUGGGUCUUCUGCUUGUUCCUGCUGAAAAACACACACACACUGGGUAAAUUAUAUUUGCUUUUGCUUUUUAAUAUCAAAUCUCUAGUUGUAUGCAAGGAAAGUUGUCUGAAGGUUGGUCUGCAUUGUCAGUUUACAGCAGUUCUGCUCUUUUCUGAAUACGUAUUUUACUUUCUGAUAUGAAGAAGCAAAGAUAAAAUGUCUUUAUUGCAAGAUUUUUAUGACACUGUUUAUGGCCACUUAAAGAACAAGUAAAAUUUGAUUAGAAAACCUAUUUCAGUGCAAGUCCAGGGAGAUUACAUUGUUAUGCCAAUAUAAUCUAAGAGGUAAUAGUAAAUUAUACCACAAUAAUAUCAUUCUGAAGCGAUUAGGAUAUAAGGUAAUCAUGGACAAACUUCUUCCUCUAAUUCCGCUGAAGCCAUUUUAGCUUUCUCAUAAUCAGCCCAGCUAAUCUACUUCCACUGAGAGGUUUUCUUCUCAAAUACAGUUUUUCUUCUUUUCCUACUUCAAGAGAGUACGUUUGGCCAGCUCUGAGUCCUGAAAUUUCAUUUUGACUUUCAGUGGAAUUAACUAAAAAUUGCAUUGCUUAGACUGCAAGGUUUUGGUUUCCUGGGUUUUGUUCA
rnacentral:lncRNA from 1 species